CCUUUUGUUCCCUACUCAGGGUGCUUGGGAUGUUUCCUUUCAUUUUCUCAUUUCUUCUCACUUCUAGUAGUUGUGCAUUUCUAGUAGUUCUGCCCUCUGUGCUCUCUUCAUUAAUGUGCAGACCAUAAUUAAAGCACCUGGCUUUGAUUAAAGCCUUGAAACAGCCACUCAUUAGCAGGUGCAGAGGAUACAUCUGCAUCACCUUGAUACCCCAAAAUGAUUAAUUCCCUUUGGGAUUAGUAUGGGCGGAGGGUGGAAAAAGGGCAAAGUGGAAAUAGGAAGAGAAAAUCAGACUGGAAUUUGGUGUUUGAGCUGGUCCUGCCUCCCCGGAGCUCCGUGGCUGUCUCCUAGUCCACCGAGCAGGAACUCCCCGUGCCUCUGAGCCUCCGGGCUGCCGGCUCAGCGCCUUUCCUCGCCGUGAGGGCAGGGAAGAAGGCGGCGAGGGCGAGAAGCCGAGAGCACGAAGCCGAGGGCUGCUGCGGUCGGGGCGAUGCUGCGAGCGGCCAGCGGGCGCCACUGCCGCGCUGCGGCUGGGGGCUGAGCCUGGCCCCGUCCUUCCCUGCCCACCUCGGGGGUCCCCUGCUCACCUGUCCCCCUCCCGAGCUCCUUUUCACGCCCUCCUCGCACAGAGCCGGGAUUUAUCACCCAGGGGCCACUCUGAGCCCUGUCAGAUGUAAGUGCCCCCUGGCUCCUGUGGACUGCAUGAGUCUCUCACUGUGCCCUAUGGAUGUGAUGGAGGUACCAAAGUAUGAUUCUCUCUCUUUUUUUUUUUUUUUUUUUUUUUUUUUUUUUUUCCAGAUGAGACUCUAUCAUCCAGUGGCAGAGAGGAGCCUGAAUGCUCAGAUAUAACCUGGUGAUGUACAAAAUGCCUUCCAAUACUCCCGUCUCUCCCCAUCUCUCAGCGGCUGGAGGAAAUCCAUGCAUGCAGAGCAUGGGCCAGCACAGGCUGAAAUACCACCACCAUGUUUCACCUGCACUGCUUUUCCUUGGUGCUUUUCCAUUAUUUCUCUAGUGCUCAGCAGCCAUGGAUAUGACCCAUUGGUGCUGAGCAGAGCUGGGCUGCAAGGAGAAGAUGGGAGCUGGAGGAUGGCAAGUGCAGACAGUUGCUGAACAGCUGAGCUCCUCUGGUUUCAACUGUGAUACAAACGCCAUGGUGGUGAGAAAACUAAAACAGGUUUGAUGGAUCUUCCUCUAAAGUUAAUUCCAAACUACUGCCCAUCUGGCCUGCUUUUUGGAGAGCUGAACCCAGCUUUUAGGAGUAACUCAGUGAAGUCUUGCACUUUUUUGACCCAUACAAGGGAGACAGUUCCAUUCUUGGUGUGGGAAGGUCCUGUCUACCUCUGAGGCUGCACCCACACUGCUCAACCCAGGGCUGGGGCUCCUUUAGCCUUUCUGUCCCUGAGUAAUUGCUCUUUAUUUAUUUAUUUAUUUAUUAUCAUUUUUUAAAAUAUAUCUCCUUUUUCCCAUUCAGGUUGCCCCAGUGAAGAAGAGCUGGUGAGAGGAGGCCUCACCUGGUACUGGACUGCUUGGCAUGAAAAUGACAAUACACUGUUGUUAUUUAGUGCACCUGAUGUGAUAGUCCUUACAGCCGUUCUUUGCUUCAGUCGUUUACAAGCCCUGAUUUUAGUCCAAAACAAGCUUCCUUGAAAUAAAAUAAUCAUUUUCCAGUCUUCCUGUAGAAGCCAAAAAUAUUUUAAGUUGGCCUGGUCUGGCCUAAACACAAGGUGGGGAGGGGGUUGGUAUGUUGGGGACAUUUUAGUAAUGAGAGGAAGAAUGUGAAAGGAAGGAUUAAACCCGGUGUUUUAUGUGUAUUCAUUGAGUCAAUUUAUAAGGUGCCUUUUGCAAAAUAUCUUGAGUGCUGCAUAAAAAACCACAAAGCAAAAUAUUUGAAAAAUCUGGAUGCAAAGCCAACACGUCCCAGAGUACAGCCAGGCAGCGGAGGAGAACCUGGCACCAGGCGAAGUUCUCUAACCACUGGGCACCAGCAGAAGGACAUCCGUGGCUGUGGGGUGAGGUGAGCCACAAAGAGAAGGAUCUGCUCCUGAAAGCCAGCCAGGAGGGUCUCUGCAGGCAGCCAGGUGGCAAGAGCAGGGCCUUAUGUGAAGGACAGGGCGGCUCAGGCUCUUGUUUCUCCUCCAAGCAGCGCUGGGGUGAAGGACUAACUGAAGAUGGGAUGACCCCAGCUGAGCUGGGAGGCCUGGAGGUGACCCACUGCAAACCCAGAUGGUUCACAAGUGGUGUCCUGAUGGAGGAUGUGCCAGGGAGGACAACCAAUGCCCCCCCCUGCACUGCAUCUUCCCCGGCACUGCUGCCUCUGGCCCAGUUUCAGCAAGAGGCCAAUUAGCAGCCUGUUACAGUAAUUUCACCUGGCCACAGCACAGGCACAGCUGUUCGUGGCAAGGCGUGCGUUACGGGAUUUUCUCGCUUGCAGCUGAAGGUCAGGGCGAGUGUUGACUCUGGCAGGCCGCGGCCCUGAAGGCCUCUUCCAGCUGGAUGUGCGGAGCCUCCCCCCGUGGCCAGCAGCUCGGGGCUCUGCUCAGCCCUGCCAUAGGGCUGCCACACAGCCUGGCCACGCUCUCUGACCCUUCAGGAAGCACACGGGACCCCCGCACGGCGAGGAGCAUGGGCAGGACCGUGGUUAAGGAGAGCACUUGGCAGUCACUGGUGGCUGGGUGAACUCCGAAAUGGCCCUCGGGGCAGGCACGUGACAAAUAUUCUGCUGAGGAUUUGGCUGAGGUAAAGACCUCAGGACAAAGUUGCAGGGCCUUAAUUACACCCCUUUCUCGAUGUAUUUUAAGGGUGACAAGGAACCGAAAAGGAGUAGGGAAGAAAAAUGGCCAUGUUGAGAGCUUUGGGCGACACAAGCCACGUUUUUUAGCAUC
ensembl:lncRNA